rnacentral:tRNA from 1 species
GGCUCCGUAGCUCAACGGGAAGAGCGCGGUGAGGUGCAGGUUCGAGUCCUGCCGGAGCCACAA